UACGUAGGGGGCAAGCGUUGUCCGGAUUUAUUGGGCGUAAAGAGCGUGUAGGCGGCCAUGUAGGUCCGUUGUGAAAACUCGAGGCUCAACCUCGAGACGCCGAUGGAAACCAUGUGGCUAGAGUCCGGAAGAGGAGAGUGGAAUUCCUGGUGUAGCGGUGAAAUGCGCAGAUAUCAGGAGGAACACCGGUGGCGAAGGCGGGACUCUGGGCCGAUACUGACGCUGAGGCACGAAAGCGUGGGGAGCAAACAGG
rnacentral:rRNA from 1 species